UAAGCGACUAAGCGUACACGGUGGAUGCCCUGGCAGUCAGAGGCGAUGAAGGGCGUGCUAAUCUGCGAUAAGCGCCGGUAAGGUGAUAUGAACCGUUAUAACCGGCGAUACCCGAAUGGGGAAACCCAGUGUGACUCGUCACACUAUCAUUAACUGAAUCCAUAGGUUAAUGAGGCGAACCGGGGGAACUGAAACAUCUAAGUACCCCGAGGAAAAGAAAUCAACCGAGAUUCCCCCAGUAGCGGCGAGCGAACGGGGAGGAGCCCAGAGCCUGAAUCAGCAUGUGUGUUAGUGGAAGCGUCUGGAAAGGCGCGCGAUACAGGGUGACAGCCCCGUACACAAAAGCGCAUGUGCUGUGAGCUCGAUGAGUAGGGCGGGACACGUGGUAUCCUGUCUGAAUAUGGGGGGACCAUCCUCCAAGGCUAAAUACUCCUGACUGACCGAUAGUGAACCAGUACCGUGAGGGAAAGGCGAAAAGAACCCCGGCGAGGGGAGUGAAAAAGAACCUGAAACCGU
rnacentral:rRNA from 1 species